GGCACUAGACAGCGAGGGCCCAACCCCCGUUUACACGGCCCGAGGACAGAAACAGGGCCGAUCCGCCGCAGCGCAGGUAAGGGGCGGAGCCAGAGGGGCAAAUCCGCCCGGCCCCGCAGCCUUACCGCUCAUAACGCGGCCGGGGCUCCGUGCCCAGCCCUGCUGCCCGGGCCGCGGCCUCCCAGGGCCUCCAUCGCUGACGCCUGGGCUAAACUGGGGGCGGGGGAAGAAGCAGCAGCAACUACCGGCGGUGGGAAGAGGAGGAGCUGGAGGAAGGCCCGGAGCGGUUUUUCAGCAUCAUGUAAUUAAGUUCUGCAUAAAGCUGACGAGCACAUAAGGAAACCUAUAUCUGAUAAAAGUAUCACAUGAAAUGGAUGAAUUUGGAGGAACAUCUGGACAUGCAAGGAUAAGAUUAUGUAUAAACCAUCAGACUUUGGAUGUAUCUUGGUUAAAUUCUAGCCUACAAGAGACAUUAUUACCAGGAAAACCAUGGAAUAAGGUUUUAGACAAACUUGGAGCUGCUCUUGCUGAUGACAUGAAGCACCAACUAAGAAAUCCUAAACAAUGACAAAUGAUUUUCUGUCUUCUUGGCCAGCAUUUUGUUAAAAAAUAUUUUAAUGAGUGUCCUAAUCAACCUAGUCUACUAGUUAGUGAGUUAUGGGAGCUUUGAGCCUACAGCAGCAUAAUGUGAACAUGUACAGAUCUGUUUUUGUCAUAAAAGUAAAGUGGGUUAUUUUGUUCUCAGUUAUAAAUUGUAUUUUAAAUUUUUUCAGUAUACUUAAUUGAUCUGAAAUAAGAUUAAAAUGUUAUAUUUAAAAUGUUACCUUGUAUCUAACAGGCUUUCAAGUAUUUUUUCCUCCUCUCAGGAAACUUGAAAAGAAAACAAGAUAAUGGGUAUAUAUGAGGGUUUUCUCAAUUGGAG
rnacentral:lncRNA from 1 species